rnacentral:ncRNA from 1 species
AGGUACUCCCGAGUCUCGCCUGUGACGGGGGAGAUAGGGAUAACGGCUGGAUGGCACAGCCAGCGGUGCGCCUGUUCGAUAAAUCCACGGGGCGAGUAGCCCCACAAGAACAGGCGAACCGCGAACCAUAAUAUCCCAACGCUUGGGAAACCGCGCCGUUUACGGCGCGGA